UACGUAGGGUGCGAGCGUUGUCCGGAAUUAUUGGGCGUAAAGAGCUCGUAGGCGGUGUGUCACGUCGGCCGUGAAAACCUGGGGCUUAACUCUGGGCGUGCGGUCGAUACGGGCAUCACUAGAGUUCGGCAGGGGAGACUGGAAUUCCUGGUGUAGCGGUGAAAUGCGCAGAUAUCAGGAGGAACACCGGUGGCGAAGGCGGGUCUCUGGUACAGCACUGACGCUGAGACGCGAAAGCGUGGGGAGCGAACAGG
rnacentral:rRNA from 1 species